UCCGUAGGGUGACCUGCGGAAGGAUCAUUA
rnacentral:rRNA from 4 species